UGUGCAUAUGCUCGGCAUACGAUUAGGCCAUCCGACUGUCACAGAGACUCCCAGGGCUAGGGAUCUCAACCCGCCAAUCGAAUCCAACACACUAACAUUGAAAGGGGACUUUACUACAAUUGCUCUACUCUACGAUAUACAAAAUAGGAGUCAUCAUACAGGGAUCUCGGUGGAUCGAUCCCACACUCGCCCACCCUACCUGGAUCCAGUAUUUCCAUUUCUUGCGUUUCUCUGAAUCCCCUUGAACCACACGCUUCGAAUCACACACUUACUUCAUACCACCUUCCCCCCCAAGUUAUACAAAUUUAGCAACACAUUUCCAAAAAAGGAGACAGCAAACUUUAUAGACGUCACAUAUAUAUAAAUAUAUCAAGGACAACACAACGUUUACGCUUCUUUCCGGAGGAAACAGAUUUUGAACGCCAGGCAAACCCUCAAAUGAAGCUGGACUUGUUGACUGGUCCUUUUACAAUGCCGGCGUUCUGGGCGGGAUCAAUAACCGGCACAGCAAAAAGCUCAAAGUUGCAGCUGGCCAGUUUACAAUUCAAAUCUCCACACCCUCAAUGUAACUUUUUUUGGCUUUCUUUUCCUGUGGACAACUUGCCACUACCUUGCGUUACCAAAAAGAAAAGGCAAUUUCCCGCCGUUGUGCUGACCAAAACCGGACAAUUUUCGGUGCUUCCAAAAAAGCUUGAUACACCACCGGAAUAUUCCUGUUGGAGCAACACACAUCACAUAUAACAACACAUUACUCAACAAACCACUGUUACAAACUACUUACACAAUAAAAAAAAUCGCAACACACAAAUUAAAUUUUUCCACUUCUGCACUGCUCUCUAGCUAAGUUUCACCGGUAACGUCUUAUUCUUAACUUUGGCUUUUCUUAUGCUCGCAGCCUUUUAUACCCCUCUUCUCAGUGAAUCCCGCCAGACGCUCAUUUUCCACGAAACACCAUUUUCCUGAGCCAUUUUCAAUUUUCAUUCCUUUUUCUUUUCAACUGUCAAUAGCCAUUUUUUAUUCUAUUGUGAAUUCUCAUUUCACCUCACCCCUGAGUCUCUCAUUUAAAAAUCAACGGCUGUCUAACUAUUCGCCCAACCCUUUUCACAUACGUUACCAACUCGCCCAAACAACGCCAAUUUCCUUUAACCUCAUACGGCAGCGAGACAUCAGCAAAAACAUUUUAAUAUUUCUCUCGAAAUCUUUUGUUUUUCUAUUCUUCUGAUAUUUCUUAAAUUUUUAUUUCAACGUGCCGCUUUUUUUUUUUUUUUUCAUAAUCAUUCAUUCAAAUUGUGUCUAAACAAAUUUUGAUCAUAUUUAUAGUAGGUUCCCACCUACUCAGCAAUCAUAGGGCUGCCUAGUCACUUCUUAGCCUGAGUCACCCUGUCAUUCACUACCUUUAUAAUACUCUUUUACUCCACCCUGUUCGAGCCUAAUUUCGUACGUAGCGAACCCUAACAAACCAUUUCCGGCAUUUUGAUCCCAUCGCCACCCAGACUACACACCCCGCAGAAAUUACAAGCAAAUUGAAAUCUCGAAGCAUCCUCACCAUCCUCACUAAAAACCCAAGAAAACUGAGCAAAUCCAUUUGAGGACCAAUUAUGGGAUGCACUACCAACAGAAUUGGGAUAAUUUCUGCGGUGGUUGUGGACAGGUUUUGCCAAAAAACCCGGCCCCAUAUAUUUGUUGCCUUUUUGCGCCGAAUGUGAACGGCCUGCAACAAAACUUCAACUUCGGCCAGAAAAUCGAGGACGGAGGUGAUGUGCACGGCCGCAUUACUCAUUUACGUGGGGACAUCCCACUCCCUGAAGGUCUCAUGCCGGGCAUAAGCUCCGAACAGCAGGCUGGUCUAAGCCCUCCCCCUCAUGCUGAUCUGUGAAACAUGUCUUGCUGGUUCGCCUGAUAAUUCUCGAUCCGACACCCUGAAAAUAUCGUGUCACUACCAAACAUCGAUCGAGUUCCCCUAUAGCAGGUCAACAUUUGGGAAGAUCAAAAACGCUCAUAAAUUUUAAAAUACGCAUUCAUUCAUUUAUACAAUCCCGCAUUCAGUAUUUCUACUAAGACAAGCUCAGAGGAACGGAUGGGAUUUAUCGGCCCACUCCUUUGGGACCUUCACUACAAAAAGGUAAACAUCCGGAACAACCCAAUAAUUCUAUCAACCCAAGACCUUGUGUGGAGUUGGAAUAUAUUUGUCCUCGCCGGCGGAUCUACACUGGUAAUACCCACCAGCUCUCAAUGAAAAAUUCUCCGAUUCCAUCAAAAUUUCACACAUUCUUCUUGGUUGGAUAUAAUCUUCAAAGUUGGAAUCUAUACGUACUUUGAUACAAACAUAAUUUGAUCAAAUUAUUGAAAUCAUGGUACAAUAAAAAGGUGGUGAAACAUUUUGCAUGCGGAAAUAUUUGUGCCUAUGCCUGUCUUGUCGUCGUGGUUGCCGAACAACGGAUUUUGUAUGCGGUAUAUGCUGAUGUGAUUGAUAGUUCCAAAAAAGGAGACAGCAAACUUUAUAGACGUCACAUAUAUAUAAAUAUAUCAAGGACAACACAACGUUUACGCUUCUUUCCGGAGGAAACAGAUUUUGAACGCCAGGCAAACCCUCAAAUGAAGCUGGACUUGUUGACUGGUCCUUUUACAAUGCCGGCGUUCUGGGCGG